UCGCGGCAAACGCGCACCGUGUGUGUGUGUGUGCGUGUGCUUAAACGUGAAAUCGAAAAGCGCGAAAAAAACAACGUUGCCACCGCCGCCGCGCGCCGACUCAUCGUCGAACGGCGCCAAUCGCCAAGCCGCUGCGGUUGGCAGCCUGCAGCUUAAUUACACGAGACGUAAUACUAUAUACCUACUAUUUUUUUAUUUUAUUUUAUUUUAUUUUUUUUUCGUUAUAGCUGGUUGAUCCUCGAUUUAUUUAAUGAAAUAUCGGAACAUUUAUAACUACAAAAUAUAUAGGUAGUGUCUAAAAUCAGAUAUAAUAAUACAUAUAAUAAUAUAUAAUAUAUGUAUUUUAUUGUUUGUAUGGGCAUAAAUAUAAAACUAUUUUAUAAUAUUAUAAUCUAAGAUAUAUUUUAAAUCUUAAAUACCUACCUAUACUUAUAAGUUAUAAUAUAUUAUAGAGGUAUAUAGUAUGUUUAUUAUUCGACAUACUCAUAAAGGUAAUGCGAUAAUUAUUGGCAAUUACCUACUGAUUUUUAUUGUGGUCGUGAUCGGGAUUCAGAAGUUCAGACUCCAGGAGUCCAGAAGUUACAACAGCGGUGGAAUUGGUAUUAUAAAUUAUAAUAUAGGUGUAUAUCUAUAGUAAUUCCAAAGACGUCCUUUGUAGAUGUAAUUAAGUGCAACCGGCACCUGAAGGCUAAAACAGAUAUACCUACCAUUCCCAAUAUUAUAAUAUAUUUAUAUAUUGUCGGCUAGUAUAUUUUUGUACUGCAGUGGUAACUAGUGAUCUAUUAUAUAUUCAAAUAAGGAAAUCUGCAGAGAUGAGCAUAACUUAUUAAGUAGGUAGAAACCAACCGGCAAGUGACAACCACCAGAAUGAGCCAAUACAUAUGUCAUAAUAUUGGUUAUAUAUACACCUAUACCUAAAUAUUUUGUGAAAAUUUCAAUUUAUGUGGUUAUUAUUGUUUUUGUAUUAUAAUAAAAUAAAGAAAUCGUUAUUUUAUGUACGAAUA